CCAAAGAAAAGGAUAUCCAAUAAGUUUACUUUCAUCUGCAACAAGAAAUGGGUUCAUUUCAUACCAGACAACACAAGAGUGGUGCAGCAGGCGUCAAGUGGAACAAGUUACAGACCACAAAAAAAUAAUGGGCAAUUGAGCGAGCAAAUUAUUGAGGCACUGUUGCAAUUGUGUGCUCGUCUUGCUGGCAUUCAGCACUGGAAACUUUUCAGAAACAAAAUUGUGAACCAAGACAGGUAAUUUCGACAAGCAUCAGCUAAGAGUAUAUUAUAAGGCGCGCCUCGACAUCUAAUUCAGACCUUAUAGCCGGUUAAGGUGAAUCCUCUGCCUGCAAUCUCGCCUACGCAGAACCAUGCAUAAAGCUCAACCCCAAACAGUGUUGCAAUUCCAAGGUCCUCCACCUUGAGCUCCUUCCUGUUCUUCCAAAGCUGCUUGACACCGUCAACCUCCUUCCACAAUGCUUCAUAGCGGCCUGGUAGACUGAAGAAAACAGCAAAUAUAUAUACAAGCCACUGAUCAGACUCCAGAGAACAAAGGAAUGGCUUAAGCACAAUAGAAAACAUUCACCGCGGCAAGGAAAAACAAGCAAAAUUCCUUGCACUGAUCAGCAUAGAUGUGCAUAAUCAAAUUACGGCUCAUGAAAGAUAUAGUGUUGCACCCCAUUUGAAGAUGGCAAACACGUAAAUAUACAAAAUGGAGAACCAGGCCUAAGGGGAACUAGCCCAUGUGGCUUAGUAUUGAUUAUGAAGAACAGCCAUGACCACUACUGCGGAGACCAGGCCUUGAACGUGGGCUUCCCAUGCAAUCACACCACUGGCCAACUGAAGCCCGGUUCUCAACACAGAAAAAUACACGUUUAGUCCUCUCCUACAAGUGCAGCCAUAGUCUGGUCUUCCUACCACACACAACAACUAAUCACUAUUGUACCGCGUACCAUCUGGAAGUUGCAUUACCAAGGUAAACAUGCCUCAUGGCACAGCAUUUGCCACAAUGUCAAAUAAAAAUCUGUGGUAGGGAAUGCAAGUUGGAAAACAAUGUAUUGAACAGUUCAAAUUGGCAAACAAUCUUGAUUAAUCAUAUGUGUCAAACUAAACCGCUGGUUAAGACAUCGUUAAAGCAAUAUAUGAAUGUAUCAAUCAUGAUUCAACUGGUGAUGUAAGUUUGCUUGAAACCGAACUCAGCUAGUUCGCUGGUUCAACAAAACAAGGUUAUGGCCAGGUCAAGUGUCCAUCCCAUCCUAUAUGUCAAACUACUAGAGUGAAGUUCAUAAUAUGUCCAAGAAUGACCACAUGAAUCUGGAUUAUAUAACCACUCAUGGAUACCUCAAAAUGUAAACAACAACAGCAACAAACAACACAUAACCAGAAUGCGGAUACACUUGACUGAGGUUGCACUUUUUGCACAAAGUAGCUAAUAAGACCAAAGAUUCAAAACAUACACAAGUCAAGAAGCAACAAAACUCAAGGUUUUACUAUGUCAGUCAGUCAAACCUGCCUAUACAUGCAGAAAUAUCCUACACUGUUCCUGCCAAUAACUCAGAUCAGCAUGAUAUUUUGAUGGAAUAUUUGCAGGCAACAGUUGAAUCGAUUUCUUUGCAAACAUGCAGAAAAAUGGCAAAUGGUUCACAGAGAGCUAUAUGUGCUAAGACUCACUUCUCGAAUAUCAUACAUAGUAGAUUACCUUUUAUUUAUGAUAUAUCAACUUCACAAGAGACUAUGCUUUCACCUAAACAAUCGUCCUUUAUGCUACAUCUGUGAUGUCUCCAUUCAACAUGGGUCAAAGAAAAAUAUAAAAACAUAGCAACAAAACAAAGCUGCACAGGUGAUCAAGCAUAAGGAUGACAUAAAAUGUUUCCAUUAUGAUUGAAAUCACAAACUUGUGCCAACUAACAGGACAGACAUAUUUCCCUCACACAAGUGGGUACCUUGCAUGACUUGCAGAAUUGUGAUUUAUCCAUUAAAACCAAUUAUUGAACAUAGCAUAUCUUGUUAGAUUGAAGUGACAGUUAUCAUUUCAAGGAACAAAGGUGCAUCUCCAUCCACAUACAAACUUUAGCAAUCAUAAAUAGUGUUCUACAAGAGGGUCAUCCAGUUAGGAGUAGGUGACACUGCCACAACACGCACACCUAGCUAAAUUGCUCUGUCCUGGUAGCUGCCUAGAGUAAGCAUCAUGUGAACAAUUAGCAUAGUCCCAGCCUAGCAAAACAUAAGAACCGUCUCACAGUCACAAAAAAAGAGAGCAUAAACCCCAGCUAACCGGAAAUUGCUGACGUAGCAAUGGUCUUCCCCCAACCACUCAGAUUUGAGCUACAUUGUAGAUGGCACAUACAAGAGAUCUCCAAGAUUUCCGUAUGCUAAAGUUCAUAAAUAGUGCAGAAAGUGAAGAACUAUGCAAUCGCUCAAUCCCCCAGUCACAAGUGGCGGUGGCUAUACAUUGAACACUUCAUAUCUAAUUUAUGUAAAGAAGUUUGUAUCCACCAAAUACAUCGAUCACUCACCCUAGAAGGCCACACAUUGCCACAGCCACGAGUGGACCACCCCAUACUACGAUCCAGUUCAGCUAGGCAGGCAGUAAUAGAGAUAGUAGGCAAUUACGGGGCAAACCUCAACCACACCAUGGUCACCCCCGUUGCUACGAGCACAAGCAGAUCCACUGAUACUGCGCAAGAGCCCCGAUUGGAACCACGCCACAUGUACAGACGGUUGGACACAUAAAUCAUUUAUUUAGGGGCUUUACCUCGCGAGGCGCGUGUAGAAGAGCUGC
rnacentral:lncRNA from 1 species